AUAGAAGUACGUUGUGUUUGUUUUACACAGUGAGUAAGCGGGUUUGGUUGACCUAGUCAGGUCGUCAUCACGUUUAUAAAUCGACUGAUUUUAAAGUAUUGUCAUUUGUCAACAAGAGUUGUAGAGAAGUUUGAAGAUUGUCAAAUCGUGGAUAAUAACAAGUUAAUAGAAUGGUGUUAAAGAUACACGUUGUCUACUGUGGAGCAUGAGGCUACGCCCCCAAGUACAGGGCCAUUAAAACGGCACUGGAAAAAGAAUUCCCAGGACAAUUAGAAAUCACUGGCGAAGGUACUCCACAGAGUACCGGCUGGUUAGAGGUUCAGAUUGUUGGGGGCAAAUUACUUCACUCCAAGAAG